rnacentral:misc_RNA from 1 species
CACCACUCAAGCCCAGCUUGGUGUUGGGGCACCCGGCCGCCUGGCGGUCGGGGCCCCCAAGUACAUCGGCGGUCCCGCCGGGGCUCCGAGCGCAGUAACUCGCGGUAAAACGCGCCCUCGCUCGGCGGCCUCUUCGGGCUUCUAGCCGCUAAACCCGUCCACUGACGUUUUUCGA